UACGUAGGGUGCGAGCGUUGUCCGGAAUUAUUGGGCGUAAAGAGCUCGUAGGCGGCCUGUCGCGUCGGAUGUGAAAGCCCGGGGCUCAACCCCGGGUCUGCAUUCGAUACGGGCAGGCUAGAGUUCGGUAGGGGAGAUCGGAAUUCCUGGUGUAGCGGUGAAAUGCGCAGAUAUCAGGAGGAACACCGAUGGCGAAGGCAGCUCGCUGGAACGGUACUGACGCUGAGGCGCGAAAGCGUGGGGAGCAAACAGG
rnacentral:rRNA from 1 species